rnacentral:lncRNA from 1 species
AUAAAAUUUUAUCAUCUUCUCUAAAAAGAUUAAAAUAUUAUAUACAUCCAUUUAAAUUGAAGAAAAUAACACAAUUACUCUUUACUAGUUAAGGUGUCCCGCGCGAUACAGCAUAAAAAUAAUACAACAGUAAAUUAUUAUAACUAUUAACAUCAUUUUUUUUCUAUUAUAUAUUAAUAUUUUUAAUAUUAUUUAUCUCAAGUAUUGAAUAAUUAAAAAUUAAAGAAUAAAUUAAAGAAUAAAAUUAAAGUAUAUUUCUUUCUAGAAAUAUUUAAACCUAAUAAGUAAAAUAAAAAUAUUAUAUUAUUAUAUAAAUUAAUNUAUAUUUCUUUCUAGAAAUAUUUAAACCUAAUAAGUAAAAUAAAAAUAUUAUAUUAUUAUAUAAAUUAAUUCUUAAAAAAUUAUUUUGGGACUAAAAUGAAAAACAUGCAAAGUUUAAGAAUUAGGAACUAAAAUAAAAAAGAGUAGUGCUGCUGGUACAACCCACAUUGAGUUGUAGAUCCUAUAACUCUUGUAUCCAACGGCUGAUAUAAAGUUGCUUUUGAAAAAAAAAAAAAAAAAAUAGUGUUAAUCUCACUCCCAUAUUUUGGCCCCUCAUUCUUUCCCUCUUUUUUAUGGCCUGCGAGCUAGAGAGAAAGAGGCGAGCGACCGACCGACCGACCGAGAGAGAGAGGAGAGCUCGAGCGAGAGCGGGGCGAAGGCGCGAGAGAGAGCGAGAGCAGCUGUGCUGUGCGAGAAACAGAGAGAGCGAGUGGCAGAGAAAGAGAGCACGAAGCUGGAUUCUGCGAUCGAAGUGGAUUCUACUAGCUCCGAUCUCCUCUUUUCUCCAUCUCUACUUUCUCUCUGUUUCUAUUCUUCCAUUCUUGUCCCAAUUUUCGGCGAACUUUUGUCGUGCGGCCAUCCUCACGGUCUCCUCCUCCAUUUUCGACUGGAGUUGUAAAGC